ensembl:lncRNA
GAAUAGUGUGUGCAGAGGCAUAGACACGUAAAACAUGAUACCCGCUUUCAGGACGGGGCGUUAAUUGCACAUGGCCAGAAUGUAUAGUAUGUGGGUGAGAAUGAUGGCGGAAAGGAUCAAGCAGAGGGAAGAGCUCAGACUCAAGGGCUGGCAGGCUUCAGUAAUUGUGGCGCGUGGGCUUAGUUGCCCUGCAGCAUGUGGGGCCCUCCUGAACUGGGACUCGAACACGUGUCCCCUGCAUUGGUAGAUGGAUUCUCAGCCACUAGACCGCCAGUGAGCGGCUGAGAGGAGCUAUCCCACGUCCAAGGUCAGGAGCGGCAGGAGGGAGGAAAUACCCCACGUCCAAGGUAAGGAUCAGCGGCUGUGCUUUGCUGGAGCAGCCGUGAAGAGAGACCCCACUUCUAAGGUGAGAGAAACCCCAGUAAGAUGGUAGGCGCUGAGAGAGGGCAUCAGAGGGCAGACACACUGAAACCGUAAUCACGGACAACAGGCCAAUUAAUAACACAGACCACAGCCUUGUCUAACUCAAUGAAACUAAGCCAUGCGUGUGGGGCCACCCAAGACGGAUGGGUCAUGGUGGAGAGGUCUGACGGAAUGUGGUCCACUGGAGAAGGGAAUGGCAAGCCACUUCAGUAUUCUUGCCUUGAGAACCCUAUGAACAGUGUGAAAAGGCAAAAUGAUAGGAUACUGAAAGGAACUCCCCAGGUUGGUAGGUGCCCAAUAUGCUACUGGAGAUCAGUGGAGAAAUAACUCCAGAAAGAAUGAAGGGAAGGAGCAAAGGCAAAAACAAUACCCAGUUGUGGAUGUAACUGGUGAUGUAAGCAAGGUCCAAUGCUGUAAAGAGCAAUAUUGCAUAGGAACCUGAGAUGUUAGGUCCAUGAAUCAAGGCAAAUUCGAAGUGGUCAAACAGGAGAUGGCAAGAGUGAACAUUGACAUUCUAGGAAUCAGUGAACUAAAAUGGACUGGAAUGGGUGAAUUUAACUCAGAUGACCAUUAUAUCUACUACUAUGGGGAGGAAUCCCUUAGAAGAAAGUGAGUAGCCAUCAUAGUCUAAAAUGUAGUACUUGGAUGCAGUCUCAAAAAUGACAGAAUGAUCUCUGUUCAUUUCCAAGGCAAACCAUUCAAUAUCACCAUAAUCCAAGUCUAUGCCCUGACCAGUAAAGCUGAAGAAGCUGAAGUUGAACGGUUCUAUGAAGACCUACAUGACCUUUAGAACUAACACCCGAAAAGAUGUCCUUUUCAUUAUAGGGGACUGGAAUGAAAAAGUAGGAAGUCAAGAAACACCUGGAGUAAUAGGCAAAUUUGGCCUUGGAAUGCAGAAUGAAGCAGGUUAAAGGCUAAUAGAAGUUUGCCAAGAAAAUGCACUGGUCAUAGCAAACAACCUCUUCCAACAACACAAGAGAAGACUCUACACAU